CAUGUACCCUGGCGAAGAUCCCAGAGGCAACAUGAAUUUUGUGCAAUUACAUCCAAGAGCAGCUAGAUCCAAACACGUGGUGCCUUCUCAGCUUUUCUAUUGAGAGGAAGGAACAAAGAGAAGGGUUAAAUUUCAAUUCCCAGAUUUGUAGGAUAAACAAUGCAGGAACCAUCUGAUUGACUGUUCCACUUCUGGGGUCUUCUGGCAGCGGGCAUAACUUACAGUGUCCUCUGAACUCAUCAAUGGAAAACUGGCAUCUCUGCCAUCUACACUUGUGCAUCUGUUAUUCCAUUUCUUUUGAGAUCACUAACCACCAACAGGAAUCUGGAAUAAAUAUGUACCUAUGAGAAAAAGCAAGAAAAAUGACUUACCAAGUCCUGACUGUUCCUUGGAAACUUUUGCACAUGUAACUAGAGAGAAUAUUGCAAAAUGAUCAUGGCUUGCUUUAUAGAUUUCAAAAGUGAAGAAAGCUCUUGAGUCACCACCACAAAAAAGAAAAACAACCCAGGAGGAAAAGACCACCUACAACUGAUGAGGGGCCAGACACCUGCCUUUAAUUGAGUGCCUAAAGAAAACACUAUAUGGUCACCCUUUAAUUUGUAAUGAGUUCUGACUUGCUUUGACACAAGCUAUGUGAACUGCCAUGUGUGCUGCCAGUUGACGGUAAAAAGGAAAUUCUUAUGCUGGAGCAUGUUAUGUGUCUGUGCAGACCUGAAGCAUGGUCCAAAAUGUGAAAAACAGAAUAAAAUCCUGCUUGACUGAACAGAAAUCACAGGAGCGUGUGGUAGAGGAUAAUGCUGGACAGCCACUGAGGGAGAAGAUAGUGAUUUUAUGUUCUAAUACGGAAAAAUACAUUACUCUCUUACUUGCUCGGAAAUGAACGAAAACAAAAGCAUCUCUUACAGGUAGCUCAAGACAAGAAAUAAGAGGAGGGAGGAUUCCUGAGAGAGAAAAACACAACCCUGGAGUAAGAAGAACUGAGAGGAAACUUACCACUGAUUAACUGACUUCAAGUCAGAUAUGGAUUUAUUUCUUUUGCAGUUUAUUUUGUAAAUUCAAAAACCCUGAAAGAGUGUAAACUUUGAUUUGAUAUAAGGAUAUUUAAACCAGACAGUGAUGUUACUUUAUCAUAAUUCACACUUAUGACCUUGUGUUAAAUUGCUUUGGUCUUACU
ensembl:lncRNA